GCACAUUGAGACUCUUGAGGAGAUAGAUAUGGAGUAUAAGCACUUGGCACUUGAAUCCGGGAUUGAAAACUGGGGGCGUGUGCCUGCUCUCAACUGCAAGUCUUCGUUCAUUUUGGAUUUGGCUGAUGCAGUAAUUGAAGCCCUACCAUCUGCCUCGGCGUUGUCGCCCCACACAACCUCAACAGAUGCAGACGAUCACGAUCCUUUCCAAUAUGCUAUCAAAUUGUUAUUUGGUUCAGUCCUUGCAUUCAU
rnacentral:misc_RNA from 1 species